rnacentral:rRNA from 1 species
GAUGAACGCUAGCUACAGGCUUAACACAUGCAAGUCGAGGGGAAACGGCAUUUAGUGCUUGCACCGAAUGGACGUCGACCGGCGCACGGGUGAGUAACGCGUAUCCAACCUUCCCACAACUAAGGAAUAACCUGCCGAAAGGCAGACUAAUACCUUAUGUAAUCCUUUGAUGGCAUCAGAUAAGGAUAAAAGAUUUAUCGGUUAUGGAUGGGGAUGCGUCUGAUUAGCUUGUUGGCGGGGUAACGGCCCACCAAGGCAACGAUCAGUAGGGGUUCUGAGAGGAAGGUCCCCCACAUUGGAACUGAGACACGGUCCAAACUCCUACGGGAGGCAGCAGUGAGGAAUAUUGGUCAAUGGACGGAAGUCUGAACCAGCCAAGUAGCGUGCAGGAUGACGGCCCUAUGGGUUGUAAACUGCUUUUGUAUGGGGAUAAAGUCAAUCACGUGGAUUGUUUGCAGGUACCAUAC